CUAUUGGAUGCUUGAACAUUAGGAAGUUCAGGUACAUUGGAUGGAUGCUGGGGGCGUCCAAACCCAUCUUUGGAUACUGGAUGUGUUCAAAUAAAUUCGAACAAGUUUCCACGGACGGAGACUAUGGCUUGGCGAUAGACUACCAAAUGUCUUCGCUAUCCGGACACAACGAGUGUUCCACAUUUUCCUGGAUGCGUGUCACUGGGACUCGUAUGUUGCACGGUGCAGCAAAUCCAUACUGAUCCGAAGCAAAUACAAGGGGUGUUCGCAAAUUGGCUUCCGAGGCAUCAACGGUGAUGACUCACUUUGGUUCACAAUGGCACUUGACUAUAGUGAUUGGCGAAAUCUGAUUUACCAAACUACGGAUUAAUUCAACCCAGCGAAGGAAACCUUACUCGCGACGGCGCACGGUGUACUAACCGUUCACCAAUGGAUUGCAGGUUUCCAAGCUUAUUACUCACACGGAUCCACUACACCUUCAGUAAUACGACAACACACGGCAAAUCGAUAGUACAACGAGAAAUUUAAACAAACCCUAAAGCGAUAUUGGAUCGUAAUACGGAAACCACGGAGAAUCGGCGCGGAUGGUGGUAGAUAACACUUCAAUGGUGGGUGAGAGUUGUUUGAUCUGCUCUACCCAACACUUUCCUAAAUUCGUCACUUCCACAUGAGCAACUACCAACGGUUGGUUAUGGUAUGGAGAGGUAGCAGCAUGAUACGGUUUCGCAGGUCAGUACUACAUACGUAUAUGUUUGGCCGAAGCACGGGCAAUUCCUACUCUUCUAACUUGAAUUUCCUCUCCAACGCCUAUCUACACUUGCACCACUCUGGGAUGAGUUCUUUGGACAUCAACAAACCAUACAUGCGGAGUUUGUUUUCAACAAGAACAACGAUAUUUGGAAAUAUAUACAAAGGAAUGGAUACGCAAGGAAUAUUAUAUACAAUUCAUAAACUGGAACAGUUUCUGGGUGGGUGAGGAUGUUCGGGAGUAACGUGGCUCACCCUGAACUACAUCCCUGAAAUCGUUUGAUGAGCGGGAGCCUUCGCUAUUCUCUCAUUUCAGCAUCGGCAAUUAAAAACUGUAUUUUUCUAUCCUUUUAUAUAAGCGAGCAGUAAUGAUCAGUUCUUUGGUUCAAACGGGUGCCUAUCCCAUAGAAUAUUUUAACAUGUUAGUUUAAGCGUCCUGUAGAUAUGUUUCGGUUACAAAUAAAUGUAGAUAUGUGUAUAGUUUUCGUCAAAUCUAUGUAAUGAA